UACGAAGGGGGCUAGCGUUGCUCGGAUUGACUGGGCGUAAAGGGCGCGUAGGCGGUUCGUACAGUCAGACGUGAAAUUCCUGGGCUCAACCUGGGGGCUGCGUUUGAUACGUGCGGGCUUGAGUUCGGAAGAGGGUCGUGGAAUUCCCAGUGUAGAGGUGAAAUUCGUAGAUAUCGGGAAGAACACCCGUGGCGAAGGCGGCACUCUGGGACGGUACUGACGCUGAGACGCGAAAGCGUGGGGAGCGAACAGG
rnacentral:rRNA from 1 species